UUACAGCAGCCUCAAGCCUGAAGGUAGCCAGCACAUCCCUAGUGUGCAGAUCAGCAUGGAGUCAUUGUUCCUCUGCAGCUUCAUGCAAACGUGAGUUUCUGCCUGAAGUGUUUACCAGCGCUGACAGAGGCUGUUCCCAUGUCCUGACUUGGGAUUUCAUGCAGUCCCAGCAAUGCAAAAGGUGUGAGAUCCAGCAUUGCGUCCAGAGGAGCUGGAAAUGGACUGAGAAGGGUAACCUUCUCCUUGGACCAUAGCAGCCUGGGCUUGCUUCUUCUUGCUUCAGCGAGAUAUACUUCUGAUGCUGCCAGCUUAGUGUCCUGUCUACCUGCUCAUGUAGGACAACGUACUUCAGGCCUGGAUGCAAGCAUGGAGAAGUGGCAUGGUCCCUCGCCAUCCCCGCCUUCAGUGAGAGCUCCUAACCCGUCUGCAGAGGGUGCUUCUGUGGGAAGGCUGCUUGAAUUUGGAGAGAGACCUCUGGGAAUGCGCCCUGUCUCUUCCUCCUGGCUUCCUCUCUUUCAAGUCUUCAAGGAGAAGUUAUCCUUUAUUUUCCAUACCUCAUUAUUUGGAGGCACCUGGGUCAAAGAAGUGUGAUUUACAUCUUGUUCUGACACCUUUUCCAGGCUGCCCAUUUGUAUGCAGCAUGCAGCCCUACCUUUGCUGGAUAGAUCGCACACAGUUUGGAGCAGCAAGUGUCUUGACUGCCCUCAGUGCAUUGCACAUUUGCAGUUCACUUGCUGAUAACUCUGAGUUUUUAUGCUAUAUGCUUUGUCUAACACAGCUAAUGCUUGACAGGGCUACACUUCUCUGCCUGCACAGCUCUCUGUCUCAGUACCUGUUGGGAGCUGACAACCAUCCUAACCUGGUGCUGAGAAUAUUAAGAUAAGGAAAAAAAUCAGUUGUGAUAGAUUUUUAAGGGAAUGUCCUGUUGCCUUCAGCUUCACAAUACUAAGUACUAUUAGUGAAUGUAAUGAACAUAUGGAGAGAGAGAUGCUUAUCAGCCUAGCCUUGUGUUUAUGUAGUGUCUGUUUGUACAUAUAUAUGAAAUACCAAAUGAAUGUCAUCUUAUUUGAUAGAAUGAGUGAUGUUAAUUUUACUAGAGCUACUCAAGAAAAGGACAUACAUCAGAACCUGACGCAGCCCUGAUAUAGAUUUUCUGGGCCUCUUUGUGGUGAGCCUGCCAAGCACUCAUUCCCCAGGCACAUGGCAAUUUUCUAUAUAAAGAACAGUUUUAAAAAUAACUUAUAUACCCCUUACGUUCAGAUUUUUUUAUUUUAUUUUUUAUUUUUUCCUGCUAUGGAAAACUCAGCAUUGUGAUGACAUGUAAUCCCACGGGGGAAAGAGUAUUCACCCUGCUUUACAACUUCAGUGCGCACAGUCUGGAUAAUAAUUUGGGAUUACAUUCUUCUGAAAUGUCUGAAAUAAGAAAUGAAAACUUGAACCAACCUUCCUGGGACUACAAUCAAUGUGUGUUACUUUUGCUUUCAGGACUUGUGGGCAGGCACUAUACUUGGAGGCAGACUUAGAGCCAGGCUAAUAUUUCCUGUGUUCUGUGUUUUAAAUUAAGAUGUUGUUAGGAUCAGUUCAAUAUUGCAUUAAAUGCAACAUGUCCUGUUGAGAAGGCCACUCUUGCCCACCAGCUACUAAAUUCUAUAAAGACAAAGCAGGGACAAAAAUGCAGCUCUUUUUUCAUUCCUAAUAGUAAUGACUAGUAACUUCUGAAGUGUUAUAAAAAGCAUCAAACAAGCACACAAUACUCACAUAUAUGUAUUAUACCUACAUGUCCAGAAAUGAGGGCUAGGAAUUCCUCUGUCCUGAUACAGAACUUUGCUCUGCAGAGGUCUGCAUCCCACUGGCUAAGGCUCUCAUGAUUGUUGAUGGGUAGAAACGGGCACUUGAGAGGCACAAUAAAACUCAAGCAAAAGCAGAAGGCUUCAGUAGGUCACAUGGGCCAUAAUACUGAAGUGCCCAUAACUCUCUUUU